rnacentral:lncRNA from 10 species
AAGAUAGGUUCCUAUAUUAGGCAUAUGUAAGUGACUGGUACAACACCAGAAACACAGUAGAAUAUCCACCAAAUGGUAAUUGCUCUUCCUUUCAGAGCCUUUGACCAUGACUUCCCAAUGCCUAGAAUGCUUCUAUCCUUGUCUUGCCUGUGGAAAUGCUGUUCAUUCAUGUGGCCCCAAGGACAAUGUCCUGUCUUCACAAUCCUGGUUUGAUUUCCAAGGUUCCCAAGAAAAUGCAUUAAAAGUGAUUGUGAACUACAGAUGGAAACACACCUCUUUGACCUUUGACAUGUAUCUGUGCCUUGCCAGCUACAGUACUGGGAACUUUCAGGAAAUUAUUCUCUCUUAUACAGAAGUUGGCACAACUUCCAAGUUCAAAGAAACACAGGAUUUUACAUUCAGGAACAUCUGCUUUAAUUUGUGCUUGAAAUAAAGUGUGAAUGUAAACAUCUUUCAAUGAUCUUUCUCUUCUAGGCAUUUCUACAGCACUUAGUGUGGGUCACAAAAUUAACAUAACAUUAUAGAAUGUUUUGCACUAAAGGAUGUUGUCUCACAAUUAAAUUUUAAUGAUGUCUGAAGAGCACCAUAAACAAUACGUGCUAUAGAAAUUCAAAGAAGAAAUUUGGAUUACUUGGGUAACCUAUAAAUAAGCUACAUGGAGAAAGGUAGAUAUGAAACCUGCUAUUGAGAGAUGAGGAUGGAUUGGAUAGUGGCAAGAAAUUUCAGUAAAGGCAAUGACAAUAGCAAAGGUGUAAACAGAGAAAGAGCAAAGCAAGUUCAGAAAUUCACAAGGAAAUAUGUUAAUGAAGUGUGGUGAUGGGACUCAUAAAGAGAAACAUUGACCAAGGCAGGUUCAGAUUAGUGUUGAAUUCCAAGUUGAAUUACAAAAUUUCCUGUAGUAAAUAAACAUGUUUUGAGUAAGUAACAAAAUGAAAAAAAUGUGUAUUAGAAAGAAAGUUUAAUCAAGCAAAGGUAUGAAGCAUGCAGGUCUAGUUACUAAUGUCAAUAUUAUAAUGCUGGAUCUUAAUAAAUGAUUGCUGAAUUUCAAGUAAAUGAAUAUACAGUGAUUCGUAUAAUUUGCAGGAAAAGAAAUUAGUUUCUGAAGUCAAUUAACUCUUCUUCAAUUUGUUUACAUGUUUCACAAUUUUCCAAAAGGUGGUAGCAAUUGACAGAAAGUCAUCAACAGACAGAGGAAAUGAAUGUAGAUGUAGGAUAGAUGCACUUGUCUGAACAUGGCUCUAGGUGGGACUCUGCAGCAUUUUUCUUUCUAGAUACGUCUCUGGAUUCCUGUCACUUUCAAACGUAUCUCUGUCUUUCUAGUGUGAGAAUAUCUAAUUACCAGUGGAGGUAAGUGGAGAAACUCCUUUUGUCAUUCUGUGUUCUGGUGGCUCCUCCUGACUGUUAUAGCCAGACACCUACCCAUAAGGUUUCAAGUAUUUGUUUAUAACCUAACACAUUCUUUAUUCAUUUUUUAAAAAUUGACAAAUAAAAUUUUGUAUAUGUUUAUUGUGUAAGCAUAUUGUUUUGAAAUAUGUACACAUUGUGAAAUGGCUAAAUGGAGCUAAUUAACAUAUGUGUUAUCUUCCACACUUAUUUUUGUGCUGAGAACACUCGCAUGAUCUUACUUACGUGCAGAGUGUUAAAAAGUUGAACUCCUAGAAAUAUGGAGUAAAAAGGUGGUUGCCAGAGACUGGGAGAAGGGAAGAAUGAUUGAGGAGAUGUUUGUCAAAAGAUAAAAUAUUUGAGUUAGAUAGGGGGAGUAAUUCAAC